rnacentral:miRNA from 1 species
AGUGAUGAUGAACCCUCUGAGC